GACGAACGCUGGCGGCGUGCUUAACACAUGCAAGUCGAACGGAAAGGCCCUGCUUUUGUGGGGUGCUCGAGUGGCGAACGGGUGAGUAACACGUGAGUAACCUGCCCUUGACUUUGGGAUAACUUCAGGAAACUGGGGCUAAUACCGGAUAGGAGCUCCUGCUGCAUGGUGGGGGUUGGAAAGUUUCGGCGGUUGGGGAUGGACUCGCGGCUUAUCAGCUUGUUGGUGGGGUAGUGGCUUACCAAGGCUUUGACGGGUAGCCGGCCUGAGAGGGUGACCGGCCACGUUGGGACUGAGAUACGGCCCAGACUCCAACGGGAGGCAGCGGUGGGGAAUAUUGCACAAGGGGCGGAAGCCUGAUGCGGCAACGCCGCGUGCGGGAUGACGGCCUGCGGGUUGUAAACCGCUUUCGCCUGUGACGAAGCGUGAGUGACGGUAAUGGGUAAAGAAGCACCGGCUAACUACGUG
rnacentral:rRNA from 1 species